rnacentral:rRNA from 1 species
AUUGAACGCUGGCGGCAUGCUUUACACAUGCAAGUCGAACGGCAGCACGGACUUCGGUCUGGUGGCGAGUGGCGAACGGGUGAGUAAUACAUCGGAACGUGCCCAGUUGUGGGGGAUAACUACUCGAAAGAGUAGCUAAUACCGCAUGAGAACUGAGGUUGAAAGCAGGGGAUCGUAAGACCUUGCGCAACUGGAGCGGCCGAUGGCAGAUUAGGUAGUUGGUGGGAUAAAAGCUUACCAAGCCGACGAUCUGUAGCUGGUCUGAGAGGACGACCAGCCACACUGGGACUGAGACACGGCCCAGACUCCUACGGGAGGCAGCAGUGGGGAAUUUUGGACAAUGGGCGAAAGCCUGAUCCAGCAAUGCCGCGUGCAGGAUGAAGGCCUUCGGGUUGUAAACUGCGUUUGUACGGAACGAAAAACUUCGGGUUAAUACCCUGGAGUCAUGACGGUACCGUAAGAAUAAGCACCGGCUAACUACGUGCCAGCAGCCGCAGUAA